rnacentral:rRNA from 1 species
UACGUAGGGUGCGAGCGUUGUUCGGAAUUACUGGGCGUAAAGGGCUCGUAGGCGGCCAACUAAGUCAGACGUGAAAUCCCUCGGCUUAACCGGGGAACUGCGUCUGAUACUGGAUGGCUUGAAUCCGGGAGAGGGAUGCGGAAUUCCAGGUGUAGCGGUGAAAUGCGUAGAUAUCUGGAGGAACACCGGUGGCGAAGGCGGCAUCCUGGACCAUUAUUGACGCUGAGGAGCGAAAGCCAGGGGAGCAAACGGGG